GCCGGGCCGGGCCGGGCUGAGGGGCGUUGAUACCCAACAGCGGGAAUUGAGCUCUGGAGGCUUUUCUGUCAGAAUUAGUUUCCAGUUCAUGCGUCGGGCCACUCACUUCACUUUUUCCAAACGCCUACAAGUCUUGGGGCUUUUUUGAAGGGGAAGAAGAAAUGUUUUCCUCUGUGGACCAGCCAGGAAAUAGCUGUUGUUGGCAAGGACAAGGAUAAAGGGUCAUGCUAAGGAAGAUGACAAAAGACAGAUAACAACAAGUCUGUCAGAAACUGAUGAGAAUUUCAUCAAGACUGAAGAAGUCAGUCAAGAUAAACAUUCCCUUGAAAUAUCCCGAUGAACCUGGACUUUCAGAAAGUAGUAAAUGUUCAGUGUAUGAACACAGCAUUUCUUUCAGAUCAGAAGUAUCUGCAAGUGAGCAACUCUAGUCUUAAUCCCAGUUCCAUGCAGACCAUGCUGGUUCCGUUCAAGUAAAUCAGCUGAAACUCUGGCUUACUGCAAAAAGUCAGCCUAUUUGUCUUGGAAGCUUUGCUUCACAACAGUACAGGCAAAUGAAUUUCCCAGUUAUUCAUUCAGAAAUGUAGGAGAGGAGAAGAAGAAACUGUUCAGCCCCUGAGAUCCUGUCAGAUUAAAGCUAAAGAACACAGGCUAUGUUUGGGCCUCAGUAUGCAACUACUUGAUUUAGGGUAGAACUGGUAGAAUGAGUUUUUAACAUUUCAUUUUGCAAGGUUCCUUGAAAUGUGUAAAAAAUAGUAUUCUGAGGAAUCUUUAUAAUUCUGUGGAAAUCCAAUGUAUUUUUUUACUCAAGAACUGCACAUGUGGGAAGAUGUUUUUUCAUUUAAUAAUUUUAUGUUUUAAAGGAACGGGUUUCUAGCUUGGAGUUUUGCUAAAAAAUAAAAUCUAGCCAUCUGCACAAAUAUGUGCUGUCAACCAGGUGAUAUUUUCUAGUCUUUUCCAGAUAUUUUCUCCCUGUGCUAGAGAAGUAGGAUACAUUGAAAAAAAGUAAAAGUAAAAUAAUUCUUCUUUGCUUUGGAAAGCAACCUUUUGUAAUGUGUAAUCCUAUGUUACCACUUCCUUGAAAAAGCUUUCUUUUACCUAAAAUAAACUUUCUGAAAUAACUCUCACCAUUUGGGAAGCUUUCAACACAUUGUAGGACAGAGUUUUUCUUUUUCUCUUCCAAUAAUGCUUUGCACCAUGCUGUGGCUUGAACUUUAUUUUCACAUGUUGUGGGAGCAUCUGAAAUCCCUUGCCAGUCCACCUUUCUCUCCAAAUCCUUGGAACAGAAUUGACAGGAAAGCAGGAUAUCCAUAAAGAAGAAUCAAACUUUGUAACACACCCUUGACAGCCUGAGUCAUUUGAUGGGGUCCUUCAAGGUAAAAGGUCAUGAAACAUCAGAGAAAAAGAAGACUUCUUCAAAAACCCUAAACCUUAACCUUUUGCAAGAACUAUACUUCUUUUACUUCCCAAGAAGAAACAUGUGCUUCAAAAUGAAAUAUUUCUACAAUGUAGUAAUAAACUAGUGUCAAAUAGGGAACAGGUGUAAAAUUGCUCAACAAUUCUGUUCUGUUUUAAAGUGUGCAUUGGGGAAGGUCCAUAACAAAAAUGGUUUUGGUUUCGUUUUUUGGGGUUUUUUUUAACUGUACUCUAUUCUUUGAUCCAGUUUGUUCCCAAAUCUCUUGUAUAUAAGAGAUACUACUCAUGGUUUUUGCUUAAGUAGGAGCCAUAAUAUAAAGAGAAUUUGCAA